UUUUAUUAAAUGUCUGAAUGGUGGGAAGGUUGGAGUGAUUUUAGGAGAAAAUUAUGGGAUUGGAAAAGUUAUCCCGAUUUGGUGGGAUGUAGAAUUCGACUCCCUCCCCUCAUCUUUUCCAAUUUCGAUUUUUGAUAGAGUUCUUUUCUUUUUUUUUUCAACUUUGCUACCGCCACACCCUCAUUAUUCUCUCUGCCGAAUUAAUUUGUUCCCAUAAUACCUCCCUUUUGCUGCCGAUUUUCUACUUUUCAUCCAUAUCGACUCAUUUUUAUUUUGUUAAUUUAAUCAUCUUAGUUUCUUUUUUUUCCCAAAAGCCUUUGCCGAAUAUUGCUAGGUGUGUGUUUGCUAUAUCUUUUGUUCCCUUCAGCCUUGUCCUUUCCCACGACAGACGUUCUUUCCUCCUCUUGUACCGAUUAUUUUUCUUCUUCUACUUCCCUCUUGGUGCGUCUCUUUCUUUCCUCGUUGCUACUGUUUUUUGCAUUUCUAUUCUUUGCCGAAUUGUGGUUACCUUGGUCUCUUUUCUUUUUGGUUUUAUUUUUUUCAAUUGACCCAUCCCCUUUACAUGGUUCUGCGCUUUUGGUAAGUUUGAUAUUUGAUUUGGUUCAAACUGUUCAUGUGAAUAACUGUUAAUAGUGGUUUCGGCUAGAAUACAGGUAAUAACCGAGGAGUUAGUGAUCAUUCUUUUCCAACGGUUUGAGGGUGUAGGGCAUUGGUUGCUCAAA
rnacentral:lncRNA from 1 species